rnacentral:rRNA from 1 species
AUUGAACGCUGGCGGCAGGCCUAACACAUGCAAGUCGAGCGGACGAACGGAGCUUGCUCCUGUAUUCAGCUGCGGACGGGCGAGUAAUGCCCAGGAAUCUGCCCGGUAGUUGGGGAUAACGUCCGGUAACGGGCGCUAAUACCGCAUACGUCCUGAGUGUGAAAGUGGGGGAUCUUCGGACCUCACGCUAUCAGAUGAGCCUAGGUCGUAUUAGCUAGUUGGUGGGGUAAAGGCUUACCAAGGCGACGAUCCGUAACUGGUCUGAGAGGAUGAUCAGUCACACUGGAACUGAGACACGGUCCAGACUCCUACGGGAGGCAGCAGUGGGGAAUAUUGCACAAUGGGCGAAAGCCUGAUCCAGCCAUGCCGCGUGUGUGAUGAAGGUCUUCGGAUUGUAAAGCACUGUAAGUUGGGAGGAAGAGCAGUAAGUUAAUACCUUGCUGUUUUGACGUUACCAACAGAAUAAGCACCGGCUAACUUCGUG